UGGUUUGGCAGUGAGCGAUUCUUAUUAGGGGAAUAUGCAUAGUGAAGGAUGGUCCACCUAUUAGUUUACUCUUUUUAUGUUGGUGUAUGUCUGGUUUGAUAUUAUUGUUGAAUAAUUUAAGUUUGUGUAGUUUUAGUUAAGCUAAGUCUAUGUGCUGCUUAUGGGAGUUUUUGUGUGUUACAUUAAUAAGGGUGUUAUUGUAAG
rnacentral:rRNA from 1 species